CACAGGAUGGGUGUUUUCAAAUUAAGCUCUCUUUAUGCAUUUAGACAAUUUUUAUAGUAGAAGUUUCAUAUGAUACAUAUUCAUGGAGGGGGAAGGGAGGAAGAAGUUCUGGACUAGAGCAUGGUGUGUUUCUUAGGGUCAAGGGGCUCUGAUGAGCAUUAUGAACAGUCUGCUCUAAAGGCAUAAGUGGACUCUCCAUCCAGGACGUGGAUGGACCAGGAAACAACAAGAGGGACCUCACAAGGGCCUGGAAUCCUUUACGGUAAAUUGGGAUUGAGAUCCACUGGUCCAGACUGAUUUGAAUCAAAAGAAUGGAAGGAGAAGAGGUAACAUACUGGACCCCUCAUCACAUCCACCGAAGCCUUUCCAAAGGAAGUCAUCACUGGACCUUGAAAGGCCGCAUUUGAGACCACGAAGAGACCUCCAGGUGCGGCAUGUAACAGAGACCACAGCAUCAGCUAGAAGAAACAGAUUCCUAACUCAACUGGAUUCAUCAGUCCACUGACAACCAGAAACUGACUGGGAAAGAUUCUCCCAAACAGCACCUUGUUAUAACAAGUUUUCCAAGCCACAGUAAAG
rnacentral:lncRNA from 1 species